GCUAAGUUGGUAGAGCACAAGGCUCUUAACCUUGCGGACAUGGGUUCAAGCCCUAA
rfam:Triticum aestivum genome assembly, contig: Triticum_aestivum_CS42_TGACv1_scaffold_327992_4BS